rnacentral:rRNA from 1 species
AGCGAACGUUGGCGGCGCGCUUAACACAUGCAAGUCGAGCGAGAACGGACCCUUCGGGGUCUUAGUAAAGCGGCGCACGGGUGAGUAACACGUGGGUAACCUACCUUUCGGUGGGGGACAACCUCGGGAAACUGGGGCUAAUACCGCAUACGUCCUGUUGGUCUUCGGAACGACAGGGGGAAAGAGGGCCUCUCCAUGGAAGCUCUCGCCGAGAGAUGGGCCCGCGGCCCAUCAGCUAGAUGGUGGGUAACGGCCUACCAUGGCAACGACGGGUAGCUGGUCUGAGAGGAUGACCAGCCACACUGGAACUGAGACACGGUCCAGACUCCUACGGGUGGCUG